ACCCUCUGGUUUCUUUUCCCAUGGGACCUCUUAGUGUGAGUAAAGGAGAAAGAGCACAGUGAAGUAAGCUUCAGAGCACUCACAGCGGUCAUGUGAGAUUGAUUCAAACAGGU
rnacentral:snoRNA from 1 species